rnacentral:rRNA from 1 species
GUUUGAUCCUGGCUCAGAAUGAACGUUGGCGGCGUGGAUUAGGCAUGCAAGUCGUGCGGAAAGGCCCCGCAAGGGGUACUCGAGCGGCGAAAGGGAUAGUAACGCGUGGACUACCUACCUCCAGGACUGGGAUACCUGCGGGAAACUGCAAUUAAUACCAGAUGAUAUCUUCGGAUCAAAGGUGUGAUUCCGCCUGGAGACGGGUCCGCGUCCUAUUAGCUAGUUGGUGAGGUAACGGCUCACCAAGGCAAGGAUGGGUUGCGGGUGUGAGAGCACGACCCGCAUCACUGGGACUGAGAACUGCCCAGACACCUACGGGUGGCUGCAGUCGAGGAUCUUCGGCAAUGGGCGAAAGCCUGACCGAGCGACGCCGCGUGUGGGAUGAGGCCUUCGGGUUGUAAACCACUGUCAGAGGGGAGGAAGUAUUGGAGGGUUCACCCUUCAGUUUGACCUAUCCUCAGAGGAAGGACGGGCUAAGUUCGUGCCAGCAGCCGCGGUAAUACGAACCGUCCAAACGUUAUUCGGAAUCACUGGGCUUAAAGGGUGCGUAGGCGGCUCGGUAAGUUAGGUGUGAAAUACCUCGGCUCAACCCGAGGAAUUGCGCUUAAGACUGCCGGGCUUGAGGGAGACAGGAGGUGAGCCGGAACUUAG